UUUUUUUAUUCUUUCUUGAUACAUGUUUGUAUAUAUAUUUUAUAUAUUUUAUAUAAAAGUUGUGAUUUUUUGUAACAGUGCUAUUGGAGGGUCUCCAAAUCUCCAAUGUGCUUGUAGAUAAGUACAACCCUGAUAAUUGAUACUAUAUUUUACACAUACAUUGGUAGCGCACAAACACAUGCUAUACAUGUAUGGCAGUAACAUUCAGUCUUGCUAAGGUCGCACUGUAUCGCGUUCUUUCUCUGCAUGCAUGUUUAUGCAAUAUUUUUCCAAUAAUAUUAAUUAUCAUUGCGCGAACAUUGACUCUGAUUUAAUGAAUGUACAUAAUCAUUAAUUGUGAUUACAACAAGAACGUAAUUAUGGAUUCUAAUCCAUUUUGUUUUUGACUGGUUUGUAGAAUGUAUUUAUUUUAUUAUUCUUUUUUUUUCAAUGACGUGGACAGCUCUUGAAAAGUGAUUAAACACAUUUUGAUUAUAGAUGAACGCGAAAUAAUGACUGUUGAUACAGAGAUUAAAUGCGCAAUGAGAACACGAAACGUCAUGCAGAUGGAUCAUCUCACUCGUAUUAUAUAUAUGUGUCAAUAAUCGCACAAGGCCGCGAGAGGAACGAAAAUAUAUGGUGGAUAUAUUUAGAAAUCACACGUUGUGAGACGAGUCUUGACGAGUUGUCUCAUCAUUCAACAGUCGCGAUUCACCAUUUUUUGGAAAAUCAAUCUUUUGCAGAUCAUUAUAUGAGGAACUGAUCCCAUCCAAGAAGUCACAUAGAGAACGGAAUUAUGAAAUCAGUGUCCGGUUGAAGUUCUCGGGUUUCGGCUCGAUGCAGAAAAUACGCUCGCGUUACGAAACAAUAGUGUUGCGCGUACGAUAU